GUCUACGGCCAUGCCGCCCUGAACGUGCCCGAUCCCGUCUGAUCUUGGAAGCUAAGCAGGGUUGGGCCUGAUUAGUCCUUGGAUGGGAGACCACCUAGGAAGACCAGGUGCUGUAGGCG
rnacentral:rRNA from 1 species